UUUGCAGAGAGAGCAUCUGUUCAUUUUGCACCAGCAUCUAACUAUCAUGGUCAAAAUUGAUAUCUCUUGUUUGAAGAUAAAGACGCUCCGGAAAAGCCUAGGGUUUUUUCCUUUACCGUCUCCUGUUCUUCAUCUUCUACGGCCGUCUCCGCUGCCCUCAGCCGUCCUCCGGUGAUUUUUGCUUGGGUCUGUGUUGGCACCUAGAUUGUGGUUCUUCCAAGCUCGAUCCAGUCUCCUCCGUCUGUCUCUGCUUCCCACGCGUCUCACUGGCAUCUUCCUCGGUCCAUCAGCUCUCUCCCACCGUUGUCUACGACCCCGCCGGCCUUCCACGCGCCCGCGCGUGGAAGUCACGUGCCAGCAGGGGACGGCACGCGCCAGCUAGUGCCAUCCGGUCGCCUGAUAGCAAAAAUGCAGGGGUUAGUUUUCCCUCUAUUUUUUUCGUUUUUGAACGUGUGUUUGCGAUUAUUUGUUUUGACGACGGCGAUUUAGAUCAAACCCAAUAGUAAAAAAAGGCCCCAACUUUGUAAGCAAAAAGCUCAUGGCGUAGAGGAAUCGGCAGUUUGGGAAGAUAGGUACUUUCUUUUCUUUGAUUAUCAAAAUUUAUAUAUUUCCAAAUAGAUUUUACCACAAGUUCUGUCUUUUUGUUCACUUAUGUAAGUAUUAAACAUAGAACUAGUAUUUUUUUUGUACACACAUCAUGCUAUUAAUUGCGGCCAUCGGAUCAGUUUUUUAUUUUUUAUUUUUUAAGUUUCGGCAAUUGACUUAUUCUAUUUGAUAACACCACAUAAAGUACCAUUGGAAGACUUAGAUCUCUUAAAAAUUGUGUCAUAUUAAUAAGUUUAACAAUGGAA
rnacentral:lncRNA from 1 species